rnacentral:lncRNA from 1 species
CGUCCAGUGGAAGGACCCAGGGGGACAAAAUGUAACAGAAGACACGACAACAUUGAGAAAGCACAGAGGAUUCUCAAUUGUAGCGAGAAGCCAUCAGUAGCCAAGAGCAUCCUGAGCCCUUGUCCUAUCCAUGCUUGAGUGUUGACCGGCCAAUUCUUGUGCAGACACAGUGUAGGCAACUGUAGGUGUUGUGAGGUUAGUAUUGGAGUUCAAAGGAUUCACAGCUGAGUAAAGCCAUUGCUGCCUUUCCUCCUCAGUAACUCUGCAUAGCACCACCCAGCACUUGGAAGAUUAAACGAUCCAGAUUGUAUUGCUUUUGAAGGAUUUAAAGCUUCUCCGCCCAGUUUUCCAUCCAGAGAAGUUGGACAUUAUAACUAGGUUUGCUGAGGUUGCUGUUCUGCAUAAACACGCAGUACAAAGAGGCAGAGGAGUGUGUAGGGUCAUUUCAGAAAUUGUUCAAAAUUCUUCCUU